GCGCCCCGGGAGGUCCGGCUGCGCCGGGGCUUCGCGGGCCUCGGCCUGCCGGGGGACCGGUUCGACACCGAGCGGUGCCC
rnacentral:tRNA from 1 species